rnacentral:lncRNA from 1 species
CAAUGGCCUAUGCCUCUCUAAGAGCUAGAGGGCACUAGUCAUAUUAUUGGGCAGAUUCUCCUCCAAAUCAGCCGCAUCCGCAAUACGAAUAAUGUGGACGGUAAACAUAGCGAUGGGCCGAUCAUAUUCUUCAUGACUUCUAUAUGCUACUCAAGUUUCUCACCUCUACUAGAUCGCCAAGGUCUGCGCAUAUUAUUUAAGUUCAUCUAUCCUAAAAGCCGACGGAUGUGGUGUUAGAUACAUACCAUCAUCCAACUGACUAUUAACUUAUGGGAUGUGGAUCAGGGUAUCGUUUAUACCCCGUCCCAAUAUAGAUGGCAGCCAUGAGUAAGCACCUUGUAAACCAUUAAGAGUUUAGAAUUAGAUGGAAAUCACAUGAUUACUACUAGACAUGACAGGAUUCGGCCAUAACAGUCUAGCCAAAACAAGUGUAGGAAUAUAGGCUGACUAUGCAAAAUGUAAAUGAGGGAGAAAAUAGUAUGCCUUUCUAAAUUCCCACGGUAUAAAAUGUUCAUUAAGGCAGCUACUUAUUUAGCAUCUUAAACAACUACAAAUAAUCAUUGAACGUAUGAGGGGAUUAUACUCACUCUGUAGUUAUUUCCUUUCUUUUUACCAGCUACUUUUCUUUCUGUAUGGUUUUUAUACGAUAAAACAUUCCACAAUUUUGACGUAUAUAUGCUACGGCCGAAGACUCUGCAAUCUGGAUAACAUAGGGAAGCCCAGUUGGUCUCAUUUCACCCACAGAAAAGUGGCCUCAUUUCUGCACCAAUGCGUUCUUUCUUGUUGGAUCAUGGCAGGAUAUUGGCCAACAUCUGUCUUCAUAAGACUAUAUAAAAAUGUUACAGAAAUUCUUAGUUAAAAAUAAUGAAAACUUAACUUAUACAAAUAUUAACCAGCGCGCUAAGAUAUUUAGAACCAACAGCUAUUUAGAGUGUGCAAAGAUCACAAGAUUCCAACAAUUGGAUAAGUACUUGGAUUAGAACGAGUUUUAAAGGCU